GACGAACGCUGGCGGCGUGCUUAACACAUGCAAGUCGAACGGAAAGGCCCCCACUUUUUUGGUGGGGGUGCUCGAGUGGCGAACGGGUGAGUAACACGUGGGUGAUCUGCCCUGUACUUCGGGAUAAGCUUGGGAAACUGGGUCUAAUACCGGAUAGGACCAUGGUUUAGUGUCUCAUGGUGGAAAAAUUAUUGUUUUGGUGCAGGAUGAGCUCGCGGCCUAUCAGCUUGUUGGUGGGGUAAUGGCCUACCAAGGCGUCGACGGGUAGCCGGCCUGAGAGGGUGGACGGCCACAUUGGGACUGAGAUAUGGCCCAGACUCCUACGGGAGGCAGCAGUGGGGAAUAUUGCACAAUGGGCGCAAGCCUGAUGCAGCGACGCAGCGUGGGGGAUGACGGCCUUCGGGUUGUAAACUCCUUUCGUUAGGGACGAAGCCGCACCUUUUUUGGGUGUGGUGACGGUACCUUUGUUAAGAAGCACCGGCUAACUACG
rnacentral:rRNA from 1 species